rnacentral:rRNA from 2 species
UGCCUAUACAUGCAGUCGAACGAACUCUGGUAUUGAUUGGUGCUUGCAUCAUGAUUUACAUUUGAGUGAGUGGCGAACUGGUGAGUAACACGUGGGAAACCUGCCCAGAAGCGGGGGAUAACACCUGGAAACAGAUGCUAAUACCGCAUAACAACUUGGACCGCAUGGUCCGAGCUUGAAAGAUGGCUUCGGCUAUCACUUUUGGAUGGUCCCGCGGCGUAUUAGCUAGAUGGUGGGGUAACGGCUCACCAUGGCAAUGAUACGUAGCCGACCUGAGAGGGUAAUCGGCCACAUUGGGACUGAGACACGGCCCAAACUCCUACGGGAGGCAGCAGUAGGGAAUCUUCCACAAUGGACGAAAGUCUGAUGGAGCAACGCCGCGUGAGUGAAGAAGGGUUUCGGCUCGUAAAACUCUGUUGUUAAAGAAGAACAUAUCUGAGAGUAACUGUUCAGGUAUUGACGGUAUUUAACCAGAAAGCCACGGCUAACUACGUGCCAGCAGCCGCGGUAAUACGUAGGUGGCAAGCGUUGUCCGGAUUUAUUGGGCGUAAAGCGAGCGCAGGCGGUUUUUUAAGUCUGAUGUGAAAGCCUUCGGCUCAACCGAAGAAGUGCAUCGGAAACUGGGAAACUUGAGUGCAGAAGAGGACAGUGGAACUCCAUGUGUAGCGGUGAAAUGCGUAGAUAUAUGGAAGAACACCAGUGGCGAAGGCGGCUGUCUGGUCUGUAACUGACGCUGAGGCUCGAAAGUAUGGGUAGCAAACAGGAUUAGAUACCCUGGUAGUCCAUACCGUAAACGAUGAAUGCUAAGUGUUGGAGGGUUUCCGCCCUUCAGUGCUGCAGCUAACGCAUUAAGCAUUCCGCCUGGGGGAGUACGGCCGCAAGGCUGAAACUCAAAGGAAUUGACGGGGGCCCGCACAAGCGGUGGAGCAUGUGGUUUAAUUCGAAGCUACGCGAAGAACCUUACCAGGUCUUGACAUACUAUGCAAAUCUAAGAGAUUAGACGUUCCCUUCGGGGACAUGGAUACAGGUGGGGGCAUGGGUUGUCGUCAGCUCGUGUCGUGAGAAGUUUGGGGUUAAGUCCCCGCAACGAGCGCAACCCUUAUUAUCAGUUGCCAGCAUUAAGUUGGGGCCUCUGGUGAAGACUGCCCGUGACAACCCGAGGAGAAGAGGGGGGGAUGGAAAUCCAAAUAUAUUUUGGCCCCUUUUUAACCGGGGGGUACACCCGGGUUCAAUGG